rnacentral:rRNA from 1 species
CGCAGCCGCGGUAAUUCCAGCUCCAAUAGCGUAUAUUAAAGUUGUUGCAGUUAAAAAGCUCGUAGUUGAAUUUCGGGAUCAGUACGCUGGUCGUGCCUCUGGUAUGUACUGGUGUCACUGGUUCCUCCCUUCUGAAGAACCAUCAUGCCAUUAAUUUAGUGUGGUGGGAAAUCAGGACUGUUACUUUGAAAAAUUGAGUGUUUAAAGCAGGCUCACGCUUGAAUACAUUAGCAUGGAAUAAUGAAAUAGGACGUUGAUUCCUAUUUUGUUGGUUUCUAGGAUUGACGUAAUGAUUAAUAGGGAUAGUUGGGGGCAUUAGUAUUCAAUUGUCAGAGGUGAAAUUCUUGGAUUUAUUGAAGACUAACUACUGCGAAAGCAUUUGCCAAGGAUGUUUUCAUUAAUCAAG